GUGUUCCCUUUGGCAGUGCAUAUACUGAAAUUGGAACAAUACAGAAAUUAGCAUGGCCUCUGUGCAGAAUGACAUGCACAUUCAUGAAGUGCUCUAUAUUUUA